UAUGUAGGUUUCUUGGCUUUGAGCUUCUCUUGAUUCUCUGGUUGCUGGGGCUUAUAGACUGGUUGAUUCCUAGGCUGUAGAAGGUGCUAGGGAUACCCACGUAGCUCAGACCUUGGUUCUUUCAUGGUUCGGCAUUACUCACGUAUACAUUCUAGCUUUGACUCUCUAGUUCAGUUGAUUCUAUAGUGUUUCUGGUGGUCAUACUCUCUGUUACCUUGAUGGUUUUCACUGGUUCGGAGGGCUUGAUCAGAGCAGUAUUCAGGUAUCUUUGAGAUGUCCUGUAGUGAGCUAUGACGCUUUCCUGAGUGCUUUGAGCGGACUCUAGGCUUACUGGCUACAGGCUUGGUGUACUAGAAGGGCUGGGAUCUUGGUUUGUGCUUGAGCUCCUUAUCUUGUGAGGAGAGCUCUUUCUCGGUUCUAGGAUGGCCUUAACGUCAUUAUAGUGCGUCUAUAGUUGAUGUGAUGCUGUCUUUGGCUGUAUAUGUUCUCCAUGGGGUUGAGCUUGGUUAGUGUGUUGCUUGGUUAUGGAUAGAGACUGGUUUUCAGAUGGCUUCAACUAUAGGUGAGUACUAAGGUACCUUUCACAGAGAACUCAUUUUCCCUCGCUUUUCUCCUGGUUCGCUACCUUGCUUAUGGAACGAAUCUAGUUUGGCUUGGACAUGGAGAAGAGGAUGCUCAGCGACCCUAGAAACAGAGAGAACCCGCGAGUCGCUUUUCUGUUUAAGAAGGACGGCAAGCCUUAUCUGCUUUAUAGACAGUUGGUGGGACCCCUGGAUGAGAGCGAUGAAGAACCGCAAGAACAGAGCAAGGGAUCUAGUGGUACGGUUACGAAAGCUGAGGCUUCCAUGCCCUUGAAUCCUACACGGGUUUUGCCAGUAGAUGUCCCGUCUGCGACAGCCCAUCGCAAGAGAAGGUUCACUGAGGACGGAGAUUCGAAUAAGCCAGAGAACCUAGUCUACAAAGAACCCGAGCGUAGCUACUUUGAUGAGGAAAACACCUCCGUAGCAGCGCCUGAAGCAGCCAAACCUGAUGUAACUCAGGGAGGGUACGCUAGGCAUAUUCCGAAAGGAAUUCUGAACGAGUUUUUAGCGAAAUCCAGAGGCGAACCACUUCCAAAAGCAGAGGAGGAGGGUAUCGAAAAGUCAAACGUUGGGCAUAAGCUUUUAUCUAAGAUGGGGUGGAAAGAAGGCAGUGGACUAGGAAAGGACGGAGUAGGAUCUGCAGACACAGCGAAAACGUUUGUUAAGACGGAUAAAUCUGGCAUCGGUGCUGAAACUAGAGACACUACGGAGGUGAAGCCGAAGGACGACAUUUACGAACAAUAUCGAAAACGUAUGAUGUUAGCAUAUCGAUAUAGACCAAACCCGAUGAAUAAUCCCCGCAAGGGCUACGAUGGCUACGAUUCUGGAGCGAAAAGAUGAUCGCGCAUGUAGCGUGUUCAUUGAUAUCGAAGCUCUCCGAAAGAGCAUGACCGAAGUGGAGGUUUUUUUACUAUUUACAAAAUUGGUACUCAGCUUGUACGCAACCUUUCAGAACGAGAGCUUGCAGAGUGCUAGAUGGCUUUUUUUUCCGUU
rnacentral:rRNA from 1 species